rnacentral:rRNA from 1 species
GAUGAACGCUGGCGGCGUGCCUAACACAUGCAAGUCGAGCGAUUCUCUUCGGAGAAGAGCGGCGGACGGGUGAGUAACGCGUGGGUAACCUGCCCUGUACACACGGAUAACAUACCGAAAGGUAUGCUAAUACGAGAUAAUAUGCUUUUAUCGCAUGGUAGAAGUAUCAAAGCUUUUGCGGUACAGGAUGGACCCGCGUCUGAUUAGCUAGUUGGUGAGGUAACGGCUCACCAAGGCGACGAUCAGUAGCCGACCUGAGAGGGUGAUCGGCCACAUUGGAACUGAGACACGGUCCAAACUCCUACGGGAGGCAGCAGUGGGGAAUAUUGCACAAUGGGCGAAAGCCUGAUGCAGCAACGCCGCGUGAGCGAUGAAGGCCUUCGGGUCGUAAAGCUCUGUCCUCAAGGAAGAUAAUGACGGUACUUGAGGAGGAAGCCCCGGCUAACUGC